AUUGAACGCUGGCGGCAUGCUUUACACAUGCAAGUCGAACGGUAACAGGCCGCAAGGUGCUGACGAGUGGCGAACGGGUGAGUAAUGCAUCGGAACGUGCCCAGUCGUGGGGGAUAACUACUCGAAAGAGUAGCUAAUACCGCAUACGAUCUAUGGAUGAAAGCGGGGGACCGUAAGGCCUCGCGCGAUUGGAGCGGCCGAUGUCAGAUUAGGUAGUUGGUGGGGUAAAGGCUCACCAAGCCAACGAUCUGUAGCUGGUCUGAGAGGACGACCAGCCACACUGGGACUGAGACACGGCCCAGACUCCUACGGGAGGCAGCAGUGGGGAAUUUUGCACAAUGGGCGCAAGCCUGAUCCAGCAAUGCCGCGUGCAGGAAGAAGGCCUUCGGGUUGUAAACUGCUUUUGUCCGGAACGAAACGGCUCUGGUUAAUACCCGGGGCUAAUGACGGUACCGUAAGAAUAAGCACCGGCUAACUACGUG
rnacentral:rRNA from 1 species